rnacentral:misc_RNA from 1 species
UACUUUUUUUUUAAUUAGAACCUUUUUGUUUAUUUUAUUGUCAGGACAGAAAAAUAAAACUUUGUUGUGAUGACAGAAUUAUUUUUACAUUAAGAUUGUAAGGAAAUUAGUUUAAAUAAAGGCUUUAAAUGUUGUUUUUCUUGUUUUAGAAAAACGCAAAUAUAGUCUUUAUUUUGGGAUUUCUAUUAAAAGGAACAGAAAAAGUAUAAUUAUUAUUAUAAAACAACAUUUUCCGCAUUUAUUACAAACAAAAAUAAAAUAAAAAAGAUGGAUAAAUUAAGAUUUGAUUUCGCUGUCAAGACAGCAGCAGAUGGAAAAUCCAAUAUCUUAUGCAUAACCUCAAUAGGUACACCUGAUGGUCGAGUUUUUGAAAUACCAGCCGAAUAACAACCUACAAGUCUACAUAAAGAAAUUACUAAUACCACAAACUUUGUAAAGGUAAAAAAAUCAUUAAAUAAAAGACAUCAAACAAGGAAAAUAUGGAUAACAUUGACAGAUCAAAUGUCAAAAAUAUAUUUAGAUGAAGAACAAAAUUUGCAGUUUAAUGAUUUUUACCUGGAAGAAAUUGUAGAAAAAAUAGAUAAGGUUGAAUCUAUACCUGGCGAUUCAAAUCAAACAUUGGAAAAAUUAUUAGAAAAAAUACUUGAAGGAAAAGAAAAAGAAUCUGAAACUCAAACCUUGGGAAAAAUUGCAAAGGAUUUUAUGAUUGAAAAAUUCACCGGAAGAAACUCAAAUGCCUGCCAAUGGAUUAAAGAUUUUAAUAAAGAAUGUGAACGUUUCCAAAUUAAUGAAGACAAGAAAAAAAUCGAAAUAUUAAAGAAUUUUUUGGAAUACUCUGGUGUUGAUUGGUACAGCUGUAUGAUAAUUAAAUAUACAGUAGAAUCAGAAUGGGACAAAUGGGAGAAAAUUUUUUGUGAGACUUUUGCAAGCAAAGGAUGGUCGCCCAUUCGAUAUGCACUUACUUUUAAAUACCAAGCAGGCUCGCUACUUGAAUAUGCUUUAAAAAAAGAAAAAUUGUUGUUAAAAGUAAGAAAAUCUAUUGAUACUGGGACGCUUAUUGAUCUUAUAGCAUUAGGUUUACCUAAUUAUGUUACUGAUAAAAUUGAUAGAGAAAUUUUACAAACAACGGAAGAUCUCUACAAUGAAAUAGGAAAAUUGGAAUAUCUAAUUGGAAAAAAUAAACAUGAAAAAAAUAUAUGUACAAAUUUGAACCCUAAACAAAAACAAAUUGAAGCAAAACAACCCUGCCAAAUUUGUGUUAAUGAAAAAAGGGGAAAACGUUACCAUCCUGAGGAAAAUUGCUGGUUCCGAGAGAAAAAUAAAAACGCAUUGGUAAAACAUGUAAAUAACUCAGAAUUAGAAAUUGAACUAAAUGAUAAAAAUCCAAAAAACUAAUAACGCCACCAUUAAUAAAAGUAAAGUUACUUUUAAAUGACACUUUAGAAGUUUCUGGAAUUUAUGAUUCAGGUUCAAAUGUGUCAUUAAUAAAUGCUAAGUUACUGAAGAUACAAAAAAAAGAAAAUACAAAUAACAUACAAAUGGUAAACUUGAAAACUAUUAAUGGUGAUAAAAAAGUAAAAGGAAUGGUAACAUUAAGAAUAAAAAUUUAUAAUAUUGAAAAAACUAUGGAUAUUUUUGUAAUAGAUAGUGAAAAUUUCCAUUAUGAUUUUUUGAUUGGUCUGGAUUGCAUUAAAAAUUUCAAAUUAAUGCAAAAUGAAGAAUUAAAAAUCACACAAUGUGAUAAUAAAAAUGAAGAAGGGUUAACUUCAAAUGAAGAGGAUAUGAAGGGCAAUAAAUACUUAAGGAGAGAUGCUCAGAAUAAAAAUGUCGAAAUUCCUGAUGUACUAGGUGACAAAAAUAGAGAAGAAAUAAAAUUGGUAAACAAAUAUGAAAUUAAUUUUAAUGAAAAUAUAAACGUGGAUAAAUUUGAAAUGAUAGUAAACCACCUAGAUUCAUUUCAACAAUCAGAAAUAAAUAGGUUAAUAGAAAAAUACAAAACGGUGUUUGCUAAGGAUAAAUAUGACGUCGGCACUGUAAGGGAUUAUGAGGCUCACAUUGACUUAAUGGUAGAUAAAUAUUGUUGUAAACGUCCAUACAGAUGUACAGCAGAAGAUAGAAAAGAAAUAGAAAGUCAAAUAUCAAAACUACUAGAAAAAAAUUUGAUUGAGGAGUCUUAUAGCCCAUUUGCUGCUCCAGUAACACUGGCAUAUAAAAAGGAAGAUGAAAAAAAAGAUUAUGUAUAGAUUUUAGAGAAUUAAACAAAAUUGUAAUCCCUCAAUCACAACCAUUUCCAUUAAUUGAUGAUUUAAUAAUGAAAACUGUUAACUGUAAAUACUUUUCCACUUUAGACGUAAAUUCUGCAUUCUGGUCAAUUCCAUUAAAAAUUCAAGAUAGAUACAAAACUGCAUUUGUGACACAAGAGGGUCAUUUCCAAUGGACGUGCCUUCCUUUUGGAUUAAAGACAGCUCCGGCUAUAUUCCAGAGAAUAUUGAGUAAUAUCAUUAGAAAAUACAAACUCUCUAGUUUUGCAGUAAAUUUUAUAGAUGACAUUUUAAUUUUUUCAAAAUGUUUUGAAGAACAUAUAAUACACUUAUCAAGAUUAUUGGAAGCGAUCCUUACUGAAGGUUUUAGACUAAAAUUUUCUAAAUGUAUCUUUGCAAAUCAUUAUGCCAAGUAUUUGGGCCAUAUAAUAGAAAACAAUUCAGUUAAGCCAUUGAAAGACUACUUAACUGCUGUGAAAAACUUCCCAGUUCCAGAAACAAGGAAGAAUAUACGUCAAUUCCUUGGAAAAGUAAAUUUUCAUCAUAAGUUUAUACCUAACAGCGCAAUCAUCCUGGAACCUUUACAUAAUUUACUACGGAAAGAUGUGAAAUUCAUAUGGUCUACAGAAUGUCAGGAAUCAUUUGAUAAAAUAAAAAUAUUGCUAUGCUCAGAACCAAUUUUGAAGAUAUUUGACCCUAAACUACCAAUAAGCAUUUACACAGAUGCAAGCAUUAAGGGAGUGGGAGCGGUGUUGAAACAAGAAGAUAAGCAAGGAGACAAUAAGCCGGUUGCUUAUUUUUCAAAAAAAUUAACUGAAGCUCAAAAGAAGAAAAAGGCUAUAUACCUAGAAUGUUUGGCAAUAAAAGAAGCUGUGAAAUAUUGGCAGCACUGGCUUAUGGGAAGAGAAUUUACAGUAUACUCAGAUCAUAAACCAUUAGAAAAUUUGAACAUCAAGUCUAGAACUGAUGAAGAACUUGGUGAUUUGUCUUACUAUCUAUCACAAUAUAAUUUUAAAAUUAAAUACAACCCAGGAAAAUCAAAUCAAGAAGCAGAUAGUUUAAGCAGAAAUCCAGUUCUAGAUUGUUAUGAGAAUGCUGAUGAUUUUUUGAAAGUAGUAAAUUUAAUAAACCUAGAAGACAUAAAACAUGAUCAAAAAACAAAUAUGCACUUACAAAAUGAAAAAGGAAAAUUUAUAUUGGAGAAUGAAAUUUAUUAUAAAAGGAGAAAAAAGGAAAAAAUAAUAAUAAUUUCAGAAGAACUUAGUAAGACUCUAAUUAAAGAUGUUCACAAUACUUACUGUCACCUUGGAACAACACAGAUGAUAAAUAAAAUAACACCAUUCUACACAGCAAAAAACCUCAUUAAAAACAUUAAACAAAUUUGCAAUGACUGUGAAAUUUGUAUAAAAAACAAAUCAAGGAAAAAGCCAAAGUAUGGCUUAUUGUCAUAUUUAGGUCCAGCAAGACGUCCAUUUGAAAUUGUAUCAAUUGAUACUAUUGGAGGUUUCGGAGGAUCACGGUCAACAAAAAAGUACCUUCAUUUACUGGUUGAUCAUUUUACUAGAUAUGCUUUUAUUUUCACGUCAAAAAC